rnacentral:rRNA from 1 species
UACAGAGGUCUCAAGCGUUGUUCGGAUUCAUUGGGCGUAAAGGGUGCGUAGGCGGCGCGGUAAGUCGGGUGUGAAAUCUCGGAGCUUAACUCCGAAACUGCAUUCGAUACUGCCGUGCUUGAGGACUGGAGAGGAGACUGGAAUUUACGGUGUAGCGGUGAAAUGCGUAGAUAUCGGAAGGAACAUCAGUGGCGAAAGCGACUUCCUGGACCAGUACCGACGUCAGGCACGAAAGCGUGGGGAGCAAACAGG